rnacentral:tRNA from 1 species
GCCUGUUUAGCAUAGUGGCUAAUGCGUUGCACUUGUAUCACAUCGACGAUAUGCAAAGAUCACUGGUUCGAUUCCAGUAACAGGCA